AGAGUCUAAAAUCACUGUUCUCACUGUUAGAUGCCCCAAAAACGAGCUAUAAGGCGGAUCCUUUGGGUAGUCAAAACGUCCCGCUAUUCCUGCUGAAAUCGAUUCACUAAGCUAGUAGUUAGUUGCUACUAUGCUGCCACUUACUUCUUACCAUUUCAUACCUUCCCUUCCUUGCUUCGAGGAGGUUCUAUAAUAGUCUAAGAAGGGGACAGGUAUAGAAUAGAAGUCCGCCCCAGUCACUAAACCUAGCUCACCAAGCCUUAGGGGUGCCCGUGGAUCUUGGCAUCUAGGGUUCUGGCUUUUGCUUUAAUAAGUGACAUCUCACUCGUGCCAGUUUUCUUCCCCCUCGGGAUUUAUGUCCUAAAUGCCUUUUUUUAACUUCUUCAGGCAACCAUAGUGGUGUUCGGGUUAGCCAAUCAAGCCUUAGGGCACGAUGUCAGUUCCUUCUGUCCAUUCUUCCUAUU
rnacentral:misc_RNA from 1 species